rnacentral:ncRNA from 19 species
AGCUCAUCCAGAGGGGCAGAGGGAACGGCCCGUUGAAGCCCCGGCAACCAUCUCGGCGUAUCGCGCAUUCCGCGAGGCCGCCGGCGAAAAAGGUGCCAAUUCCGACCCGUCCGCGGGACAGAUGAGGA